rnacentral:ncRNA from 1 species
AUCUUCGGGGCAGGGUGCGAUUCCCAACCGGCGGUAUAGUCCGCGAACUGCUCUUACCGAGCAGCCGAACCGGUGACUUUCAGAAAGGAUUCCGGUACCGACAGUAUAGUCUGGAUGAGAGAAGAA